UCUUAUUUGUAUGAAUAUGGUUUUGUAUAAAUUGAAUUAAAUAUUCCAUUACUCAUUUUAUUAAGCCGUUUCCCACGUAGUUGAUUUGUUAUAAUUAGGAUCCACCUAUUGCAAAAUUUUGCAAAUCAAAGAAAAUCUUGGGAUUGUGGAACUUGUUGUGUGCUCUUGUGGUUUGGAAGGUGUGAGCUUUCGAUCGUGAGCGUCACUGUUCUUCUGGAUUGGAUCUUCCAAAGCCUAUAGUAAAGCUUAAACCGUGUUCUAGAGGAGAACGUUGUCAGACAUGUAGAAUCGCCCAAAGGGCCCAGAGCUGAACCUGUGGUGCUUCAUAGCAUAGAAUCAAAUGGAAGAAGGGUGAAAAGGAUCGGUAAGCCACCAUUUCACUUUCAGGACUACUCCAUUCCAAUACUACAAUACCCUGUUUUUGGAUCAUCAUCAUUAAAAGGCAUAACAUGUCGUGGAAUAGCUCGCGAAGUCCAAAAUUCGACCCCACCGGAAGCCAAAUGCGCUAUGAUGCCGGCUGCGAAAUAUGCAACGUCGAUAAGCGGAGAGCGCAAAAGCCUACGAAGAGCCACUAGGAAUGGAUCCACAAUCAAACGAUGCCGUAACGUCUUGACUUCGGCGAUAUUAUUAAUCAAACCGAGGAUCUUUGUGUUCAAAUUAAACGUAUCAUAAUUUGGA
rnacentral:lncRNA from 1 species